ACGAACGCUGGCGGCGUGCCUCAUCCCUGCAAGUAGAACGCACAGUUUAUACCGUAGCUUGCUACACCAUAAACUGUGAGUUGCGAACGGGUGAGUAACGCGUAGGUAACCUGCCUGGUAGCGGGGGAUAACUAUUGGAAACGAUAGCUAAUACCGCAUAAUAUUAAUUAUUGCAUGAUAAUUGAUUGAAAGAUGCAAUUGCAUCACUACCAGAUGGACCUGCGUUGUAUUAGCUAGUAGGUGAGGUAACGGCUCACCUAGGCGACGAUACAUAGCCGACCUGAGAGGGUGAUCGGCCACACUGGGACUGAGACACGGCCCAGACUCCUACGGGAGGCAGCAGUAGGGAAUCUUCGGCAAUGGACGAAAGUCUGACCGAGCAACGCCGCGUGAGUGAAGAAGGUUUUCGGAUCGUAAAGCUCUGUUGUAAGAGAAGAACGGGUGUGAGAGUGGAAAGUUCACACUGUGACGGUAUCUUACCAGAAAGGGACGGCUAACUACGUG
rnacentral:rRNA from 1 species